AGUGACAGUUUGCUUGGUCUCUGUGAUGGUUCAUUUGCUGUUUUGAUGAGCUUCGUGAUCGCAUUUCUCCCAAAUAAAACUGAAAGUGUUUAUUUUUAGCGGUCUUAUGCUGUGCUUUGAAUCCCCCCAGACAUGUAUGUUGUGCAAAGACCCGGAAAUAGUGACCCCUUAGGACAGUGUGAAUUCCUUUAAGUGAACCCACCAGCUGUGUGCUCACACAUCCCGGAGGACUUCCUUUUGGGGCACUUUAAAAAUUCCUCCUGCCCCUUUAGUUAAUCUCUAGCCGCUGUGUGUGCUGGAGGUUCUCCCCAGAAUCACUGGGAGUGCAUGUGAAAUAUAGCUAAGAGUGUCUUUGGGGGGGUAAAUGUGGACUCCAGUGUGGGAUUAUGGUGGCCCUGGACAUGAGAAAGAGUGUCUCAGUUCAAGUGGACAGUGAUUUCGCCCUGCUUCUGCCGGAGGGAUUGUACGAAAUCAAGAAAAUGGAGCCACGCUCCCGACAGCGGUCCAUUGUGGUCGUCUGCGUAUUCCUGGCUAUUGCCGGAAUGAUCAUUUUCGGCUACUUCUGCAACGAUCAAGUAUGUGCCCUAACGAAACGAGAAGCAAUGAUGAGCUCAGAGGUGUCUGCACUCACAUCAGACUCCACAAAUUCCGUGGGGAAGUCAUCGAGUCAACUAACAAAUCCUGGCCUUAGCUACGAAGAAGUUCUCAAUGACGAUGACUUUCAAUUCGAUAUGAAUGCUCACGAUGUGAUGGUGUUCUUGCACAUCCAGAAAACCGGUGGCACAUCUUUUGGCAAGCAUCUCGUACGUGAUCUGGACCUAAAACGUCCAUGUACGUGCCAGAGGCGGAAAAAGCGCUGCCACUGCUUCCGGCCGCAUCGCAAUGAGAUAUGGCUCUUCUCGCGCUACUCAACCGGCUGGAAGUGUGGCCUUCAUGCUGACUGGACAGAGCUGACGAGCUGUGUGGACCAGGAAUUGGACAAGAAUGAGGGUGAAACGACAAAAAGGCGAUACUUUUACGUUUCGUUGCUCCGUGAACCCAUUGCACGUUACCUCAGCGAAUUCAGGCAUGUCCAGCGUGGGGCCACGUGGAAGGCAUCCCGACACUGGUGUCUGGGUAAAGUUGCCACCCCAGCUGAACUACCUCCCUGCUAUACGGGUGAAAAUUGGAUGGAUGUGACUCUGAAUGAGUUUGCGGCGUGUGAGAGCAAUCUGGCAGCGAAUCGUCAGACACGAAUGCUGUCGGAUUUAGCUCUUGUUGGUUGCUACAAUAAAUCAUCGUUACCACCUCACGAGAGGGAUCGCAUAAUGUUGGCCAGUGCUAAAAGAAAUCUCGCCUCAAUGGCAUACUUUGGCCUGACGGAAUAUCAAAAAAUUUCCCAGUACAUCUUCGAGGAGACAUUCAAUUUGCGCUUUGCCAUACCCUUUGAGCAGCACAACACAACCGUGUCCACGACGACGAUGAAUGAUUUGAUCCCGGAGCAGAGGAGACGAAUUGAGCAGCUCAAUUCACUUGACAUUGAACUCUAUGCCUUUGCCAAGAGGCUCCUCUUCCAAAGAUUUGAGAAGCUAAAGGCCAAAGAUGCGGACUUUGAAGUGCGAUUUGCACACUUGGGCAAUUUGGGAAUGCGAAGUGGUGCGACUGAAUUCAACUGGGACAGCAAUAUUGAGGAUACGAGCACGGAACAGCAGUGAAAUCAUGGAUAAUUCCCUCAGUGUGGCAACCACAGUGAUAUUUUAUUGGACGACGAAAGGAUUUUCACCGAGCAGCUCUGAGUGAACGCGAAAGGAGUGCCAUUUGAAGAAGAGAUAUAGCGGGAAAAUACACUGGAAAUUGAAUGGCAGCUGAAAUGAAAACCUCUUCAUUCAAUGAUUAUUUUCAAGCCAAAAAAAGGAAUGAGAAGAAAGAAAAAGAAUGUUUGUUACUAAUAAGUAAAUGAAAGUGAAUACCAGAAGACGAUUGAGAUGAAAAAAAAAUCAGAUUAAUAUUGCUUAUUGUAUAAAAUAUAAACUAACAAUAGAACACAAGAAAAAAUAUAUAUAGAGAAUAUAAAAGUGAGUGUGAAUGGGAAAAUGAAUAAGAGGAUGUGAGUAAUAUUAUAAUAUACAAGUAUAUGGGCGACACAUGAGUAACUAAUUUGAUACAAUGAACAUAUAUUCUAUUGAGGCCUCCUUUAUUGAAGUUACGAGCCAUACCAGUGCUUGACUAACAUAAAAUUGCCAUUUAUUUUCAUGUGAAAAAUUAAAUACACUCAAGAGAGACACUUUGGCGCAUUGAACCGCAUUCUGGCGGAGCAAAAUAUUGGCACAAUUUGUCUCAAUUCUUUUUGCACAAGAAUCCAUCAUACAACCACUAUAAAUAGCCAUUUAGAUGGGUGAGAUUACAAACAACGACAAUUGAAUGAAAUAAUGUUUUUUAAUGGAGUAAUAUACCCGCGUACAUUUUUACCACACAACAUAACAAAAAAAAACGAAGCAAAAACAAAUAACAAAGAACAGUAAGUGAGAAAAAAAAUAAAUGUAGAUUUAAUUGACAUUUUUUUAAGCUACAUAUUACAUAGAGAGGGGUGACAAUAAUUGCAUAAAAAAUGUGUUGGAAAUGUAAUGUAUAGGAAAGUAUGUAGAAUUUUUUUUUAAUUCAUUUUUUAAUAUAUAAAAUAUUUCUUUUUCACAAUUUUUUAACAAAACAUGCAAUAUAACAAAGGAUAAAACAUAAAAUUCAAUAAAUAGAAUGGCGGCUUUGGGGAAGAAAAUUAGCAUAUAAAUUCCAUGCAAAUAUAAAGGUGUUUUUGCAGUCAAGUAGAUUUUCAUAGAAAAGCAUAAAAAGAAACUAUAUAGGUUACCUAAAGAAUAUUCUAAAUGCAACAAGUGUAGAAAAGUCGAAAGUUUUUUUUAUUCUACUAUUUUGUAGCAUUUCCUUCGUACGUAAAUAUACCCACAAAACACCUCCACUGACUUUGUCGUACAAACGACGAGGAAAAAAAGAGAAGUUAAAUGUAAAUACGAAAAGUAAAUUUCAUCUAAAAAGCAACCCCCAUCUGCUGUCUACACAGUUUUUGAGGAAUUCAAUGAAGGGACUUUGGAGGGAAUAAAAAAAGUUUUUAAUACGUCGAGGAAAGAAGUAGCAAAAAGUGUGUCUCCAAAAUUUGUCUUUUUCUACCUCCACCCCUCUGUGUGGAAUUCACAGUCAGUUACUUAAGAUCAAGGCAAUUAAAAGGGGCUCAUUAGGGAAAAUCGUGGCUUCAGAAAGACUCUAUCUUUUUCCAGUUCCCCUCUCUUUAAAUUUUAUACUCUUUUAAUUACUCUCACAAUUCACAAAAGGGUUUAAUUUUCCUCUUUUCUUCAUGCUUCCCUCCAUAGCCCUUGAUAUAUCUACCACCGAAUGAAGGGUCCUUUCGUGUUGAGAGGAAAUAUGUGGGAAUUUUACAUUUGAAAGUAAUAAAUUUUUAUCAAUAUGGAUGAAGGGCAAGGAAAUUUAGAGCUCAAAUUGCACAAAAAUAAUCUUUAAGGGAAUUAGUUUCAAAGCCUUUAUAUUGCACAAAAUGUGCAAUUUUCCGAAUUUUCUUCAAUUUUUUAAUUAUUCUUUCGUUUUGGAGACGCUUGUGAAUCGUUUGGGGAAUUUUUAAAGGAGAUUAUUCAAGUAAAUAUAGGUUAGACUUAGAACCUUCUUCUAGGAAACAUGUAAAAUCAUAUCAUUUUCCACAUACAAUUAGUAAAAAAAAUAUUGAACAAAGAUUGGCCCAAAAAAAUGCACAAUUACGUCACCCUACGAUUUUUUUAAAAUUCAUGAAGCAUUCGUGCUCAUGUUUCAAUGCUAAGUUUUGGCUAAGAAUUUGUAAAGCAUUUUUGGAAAUAUUCUUCCUAAAUUUUAGAAUUUUCUUUUCCGGUUUUUUCGUGAAACAUUAGCGCAAAUGUUUCAUGCAUGACGUAUGUAAGUGUUUAAAUUUUUGAGUAAAUAUUUGUAAAGUUUCCUAAGCUCUUCCACGUAAAAAAUGAUAUAAGUAUAAUAUGAUUGGAUAUUUUUAAAUCCUUUUUUGAUCCCUUACAAGACGUUUUUUUUGCACCGUAUGUUCCCUCAAACAAGGUACUAACCCAUAUAGGUUUGAAGAACUUCUUUUCUUUUCUUAAAGUCAUGAUGGCUAAGCAAUUUCAUUGAAGCCAGGUCAUGUCCAUUUAGCACAGAGACAGAUUAAGAUGGAGACAAAAUAGAUUCUUUUGAGAAUAUUUAGUCAGAGAAGACAAAAGUGAUUGAAAUAAAAUGCCCAUAAGAGUAAAUUCAAUCCGUAGUUGUAUUUCUGCACGGAAAUAAGUGAAAGAAUUUGGAAUAAUGAGUAUGUUGUCGUCGUGAAUAACAAACAAAUAAAAUGGGGAAGCUGGAGAUGAGAGGAUGGCUCUUCCACUCGGGAAGAAAUGCCACUCGAAACAUUCGUGUGCGACAUUCAGUGUUUCGGCCUAAAUAACAAAAUAAGAAUCCAAAGCUAAAUUACUCGCUUCCGAGAGUUGUGUCUCAAGGCACACAAUUCUCAGAGAGAAAAGAAGUGUGACAGAGCUAUUACACACCCGGAGAAGUGUGAAAACACACCUGGAGAAGUGUGAAUGAGGGUCAGUGACGUCACCGAAAAUUUCAGCAAAUAUUUCAACAAAGAUGAAACUUGAGUUUCAUGGUCAUCUCAAAAAGUAUGUCGCAACCCUUCAAAAAUUAGUGUCUGUCAAAGGAAUUCGCGA